rnacentral:rRNA from 1 species
GACGAACGCUGGCGGCGUGCUUAACACAUGCAAGUCGAACGGAAAGGCCCUGCUUUUGUGGGGUGCUCGAGUGGCGAACGGGUGAGUAACACGUGAGUAACCUGCCCUUGACCUUGGGAUAACUUCAGGAAACUGGGGCUAAUACCGGAUAGGAGCUCCUGCUGCAUGGUGGGGGUUGGAAAGUUUCGGCGGUUGGGGAUGGACUCGCGGCUUAUCAGCUUGUUGGUGGGGUAGUGGCUUACCAAGGCUUUGACGGGUAGCCGGCCUGAGAGGGUGACCGGCCACGUUGGGACUGAGAUACGGCCCAGACUCCUACGGGAGGCAGCAGUGGGGAAUAUUGCACAAUGGGCGGAAGCCUGAUGCAGCAACGCCGCGUGCGGGAUGACGGCCUUCGGGUUGUAAACCGCUUUCGCCUGUGACGAAGCGUGAGUGACGGUAAUGGGUAAAGAAGCACCGGCUAACUACGUGCCAGCAGCCGCGGUGAUACGUAGGGUGCGAGCGUUGUCCGGAUUUAUUGGGCGUAAAGGGCUCGUAGGUGGUUGAUCGCGUCGGAAGUGUAAUCUUGGGGCUUAACCCUGAGCGUGCUUUCGAUACGGGUUGACUUGAGGAAGGUAGGGGAGAAUGGAAUUCCUGGUGGAGCGGUGGAAUGCGCAGAUAUCAGGAGGAACACCAGUGGCGAAGGCGGUUCUCUGGGCCUUUCCUGACGCUGAGGAGCGAAAGCGUGGGGAGCGAACAGGCUUAGAUACCCUGGUAGUCCACGCUGUAAACGGUGGGUACUAGGUGUGGGGUCCAUUCCACGGGUUCCGUGCCGUAGCUAACGCUUUAAGUACCCCGCCUGGGGAGUACGGCCGCAAGGCUAAAACUCAAAGGAAUUGACGGGGCCCCGCACAAGCGGCGGAGCAUGCGGAUUAAUUCGAUGCAACGCGUAGAACCUUACCUGGGUUUGACAUGGAUCGGGAGCGCUCAGAGAUGGGUGUGCCUCUUUUGGGGUCGGUUCACAGGUGGUGCAUGGCUGUCGUCAGCUCGUGUCGUGAGAUGUUGGGUUAAGUCCCGCAACGAGCGCAACCCUUGUUCACUGUUGCCAGCACGUUAUGGUGGGGACUCAGUAGAGACCGCCGGGGUCAACUCGGAGGAAGGUGGGGAUGACGUCAAGUCAUCAUGCCCCUUAUGUCCAGGGCUUCACGCAUGCUACAAUGGCUGGUACAGAGAGUGGCGAGCCUGUGAGGGUGAGCGAAUCUCGGAAAGCCGGUCUCAGUUCGGAUUGGGGUCUGCAACUCGACCUCAUGAAGUCGGAGUCGCUAGUAAUCGCAGAUCAGCAACGCUGCGGUGAAUACGUUCCCGGG